AGUUCAACAAGACUUAGCCACUAAACCACCACCACCACCGUAGUUAUAUGACGGACUAGCUAAAGGCAUAUCCACCUGGGAUCUGGAAGAGGAAAAUGUGGACACAGAAACCCAGGAGGAACACCACGUGAUUCCUGAGGUAGAGAUUGGAGUUAGUCUGCCUCAAGCCAAGGAACACCAAGGAUCACUGGCCAGCAGCAGAAGCCAGGAGAAAGGUGUUGGCCUGUCCCAGGGCUCCAUCGUUGACUCUCUCCUCUGAAUCCACACAGUCUCCCGAAUGAUCAUGUCCAUGCUCCUGAUUUCCAUGGUCACUUGUGCUCUGAAGACCCUUGAAUCUUCCUCUCCAUUGCAAUUAUUUCAUCUGAACUCCAGACCAACUUAUUUGUACAUCAAAAUCAAUAUGUUCAAGUUCAAAUGCUUCACUUUUCCACCUUUGAUUCUCUUAUAUUAAGUGAAUGCCCCAACCUUUAACUCAGAUACCAAAUCAAAAAACCUGGGAAUGAUUCUUGAUCCAUCCUUCCUCAUCUACCCUCUUUAACCUGAAAGUCUCAUAUAUGUAAUUGCUGCUGCUGCUGCUGCUAAGUCGCUUCAGUCGUGUCCGACUCUGUGCGACCCCAUCGAUGGCAGCCCACCA